AUUGAACGCUGGCGGCAGGCCUAACACAUGCAAGUCGAGCGGAGCGGCGGACGGGUGAGUAAUGCCUAGGAAUCUGCCUGGUAGUGGGGGAUAACGUCCGGAAACGGGCGCUAAUACCGCAUACUAUCAGAUGAGCCUAGGUCGGAUUAGCUAGUUGGUGGGGUAAAGGCCUACCAAGGCGACGAUCCGUAACUGGUCUGAGGGGAUGAUCAGUCACACUGGAACUGAGACACGGUCCAGACUCCUACGGGAGGAGGCAGUGGGGAAUAGUGGAAAAUGGGCGAAAGCCGAAUCCAGACAUGCCGCGUGUGUGAAGAAGGUCUUCGGAUUGUAAAGCCCGUUAAGUUGGGAGGCGUUACCAACAGAAUAAGCACCGGCUAACUUCGUGCCAGCAGCCGCGGUAAUUC
rnacentral:rRNA from 1 species